rnacentral:rRNA from 1 species
UGGAAGUUAAGAACUUAGUGGCGGACGGGUGAGUAACGCGUGGGUAACCUGCCUCAUACAGGGGGAUAACAGUUAGAAAUGACUGCUAACACCGCAUAAUAUAGUGAGACCGCAUGAUUUUGCUAUCAAAUAUUUAUAGGUAUGAGAUGGGCCCGCGUCUGAUUAGCUAGUUGGUGGGGUAAAAGCCUACCAAGGCGACGAUCAGUAGCCGGCUUGAGAGAGUGACCGGCCACAUUGGGACUGAGACACGGCCCAAACUCCUACGGGAGGCAGCAGUGGGGAAUAUUGGACAAUGGGGGAAACCCUGAUCCAGCCGACGCCGCGUGAGUGAAGAAGUAUUUCGGUAUGUAAAGCUCUAUCAGCAGGGAAGAUAAUGACAGUACCUGACUAAGAAGCCCCGGCUAACUACGUGCCAGCCGCCGC